rnacentral:rRNA from 2 species
GGAUUUGCACCGCGGCGUGCGGGCUAUCAUGCAGUCGAACGAAACUUUCUUACGAAUGCUUGCAUUCACCGUAAGAAGUUGAGUGGCGGACGGGUGAGUAACACGUGGUAACCUGCCUAAAAGAAGGGGAUAACACUUGGAAACAGGUGCUAAUACCGUAUACUCUAAGGAUCGCAUGAUCCUUAGAUGAAAGAUGGUUCUGCUAUCGCUUUUAGAUGCCCGCGGCGUAUUAACUAGUUGGUGGGGUAACGGCCUACCAAGGUGAUGAUACAGAACUGAGAGGUUGAUCGGCCACAUUGGGACUGAAACACGGCCCAAACUCCUACGGAGGCAGCAGUAGGGAAUCUUCCACAAUGGACGCAAGUCUGAUGGAGCAACGCCGCGUGAGUGAAGAAGGUCUUCGGAUCGUAAAACUCUGUUGUUAAAGAAAAACACGUGAGAGUAACUGUUCAUUCGAUGACGGUAUCUAACCAGCAAGUCACGGCUAACUCGUGCCAGCAGCCGCGGUAAUACGUAGGUGGCAAGCGUUGUCCGGAUUUAUUGGCGUAAAGGGAACGCAGGCGGUCUUUUAAGUCUGAUGUGAAAGCCUUCGGCUUAACGGAGUAGUGCAUUGGAAACUGGAAGACUUGAGUGCAGAAGAGGAGAGUGGAACCUCCAUGUGUAGCGGUGAAAUGCGUAGAUAUAUGGGAAGACACCAGUGGCGAAAGGGCUCUCUGGGUCUGUAACUGACGCUGAGUCGAAAGCGUGGGUAGCAAACAGGAUAGAUACCCUGGUAGUCCACGCCGUAAACGAUGAAUGCUAGGUGUUGGAGGGUUCCGCCCUUCAGUGCCGCAGCUAACGCAAUAAGCAUUCCGCCUGGGGAGUACGACCGCAAGGUUGAAACUCAAAGGAAUUGACGGGGGCCCGCACAAGCGGUGGAGCAGUGGUUUAAUUCGAAGCAACGCGAAGAACCUUACCAGGUCUUGACAUCCUUUGACCACCUAAGAGAUUAGGUUUUCCCUUCGGGGACAAAGUGACAGGUGGUGCAUGGCUUCGUCAGCUCGUGUCGUGAGAUGUUGGGUUAAGUCCCGCAACGAGCGCAACCCUUGUUGUCAGUUGCCAGCAUUAAGUUGGGCACUCUGGCGAGACUGCCGGUGACAAACGGAGGAAGGUGGGGACGACGUCAAGUCAUCAUGCCCCUUAUGACCUGGGCUACACACGUGCUACAAUGGACGGUACAACGAGUCGCGAGACCGCGAGGUUUAGCUAAUCUCUUAAAGCCGUUCUCAGUUCGGAUUGUAGGCUGCAACUCGCCUACAUGAAGUAAUCGCUAGUAAUCGCGAAUCAGCAUGUCGCGGUGAAUACGUUCCCGGGCCUUGUACACACCGCCCGUCACACCAUGAGAGUUUGUAACACCCAAAGCCGGUGGGGUAACGCAAGGAGCCAGCCGUCUAAGGUGACAGAGAUG